AUUGAACGCUGGCGGCAGGCCUAACACAUGCAAGUCGAACGAGUGGCGGACGGGUGAGUAAUGUAUGGGAAACUGCCUGAUGGAGGGGGCUAACUACUGGAAACGGUAGCUAAUACCGCAUACCAUCAGAUGUGCCCAGAUGGGAUUAGCUAGUUGGUGGGGUAACGGCUCACCAAGCCGACGAUCCCUAGCUGGUCUGAGAGGAUGACCAGCCACAAGGGAACUGAGACAAGGUCCAGAAUCCGACGGGAGGCAGCAGUGGGGAAUAGUGAACAAGGGGCGGAAGCCGUAUGCAGCGAUGGCGGGUGUAUGAAGAAGGCCUUUGGGUUGUAAAGGACGUUCAGCGGGGCGGCGUGACCCGCAGAAGAAGCUCCGGCUAACUCCGUGCCAGCAGCCGCGGUAAUGC
rnacentral:rRNA from 1 species